rnacentral:lncRNA from 10 species
UGGCCCUCUGUGGAGACAGCAGGGCUCCCCCACUCUCCGGGGGUGCCUCAGAAAGACCCUCACCCCACGCCCCAGCGGCCGCCUCCGAGGAGGGAGGAGGCCCACAAGGGUGCCAUCCCCAGUCACAAAGCCUGGAGAGAGGAAUGUAAGUCGCGAAGCCGCUCCAGAGGAUGCUGAACAGUGUCAUGUACGGAGGAGCCUUGCCCCGGCUUUCUGGUCCUGAAUAAGGUGUGGACAGUUGGGGUGAGCCACAGAGGGAGUGGGGGCCGGGGGUGGAGGCAGGAAAAAACCUGCCCCGGGUGUUCAAGGCAGUGCAGGUGAAGCGGCUCAUAGCUGGAUGCUCAGCCACUCCCCAGCUCAGGGCACGGCUGAGCAAACCCAGAACCACGGAGAAGGUGCCAUGGCCGGAGGGCUGGGGUGAUUUGGGGAAACCUGGUACAAAGUGGUGCAGGAUUCCAGGGCUCUGAGACUGCAGUUACUGGGCGCUCCUGCCACCCCCAGAAAGAGCAGGUCUACCUGGGGAGUCCGAGCCGAGGCGCAGGCCGGAGACACCCCAAUGAGAGCACGGAACUGGAAUCGGGGUCUUCACCUUCCCGGUGUGUGGACUCCUUGGGCAUCUAGUAAGCAAAUAAGUUCACAGAAUUAUGAAGGAAACCCAUUUUACCAAAAUACAGCUACCACCCCGUUAGAACAUUCUGGUGUAGUGAGCACUGUGCUUUUCAUUAAGCCAUGAUUUAAAGUGGUGAGGCGUGGGAACCGCAUUAGGAGACGUGGUGGUGAGUGGAAGGCGAGGGGGGUCUUUUGUGGAGCCCUGGACCCUCCCAAGGCGUGGCUGCUUGGGGCCCACCAAAGUGGCCCUGGGGCAGCUCUAUCGGUGUCAACGGCACAGGCGCGGCUGACACCCUGGGGAGGUGCCCACGUUCUUGGUUACAGGAAAGGCUAAAUUUUGGUUAGAGACACGACACAAUGCCAGAUGAAACUCAUCCAAGUCCACGGAUCCCCUGAAUUCCAAGGAAAGAACCGCGGUUCCAGCUUCCCUCGAAGGUGUCCCCCGGUCCCGCUCACCACCUCAGCUUCCAGGAGUCUCCGGUGGGACAGCCGGAACCCCACUGAGGGUCUCGAAGUCACAGGCCCCUGGUUCACACUCAGCAUUUCCUGUCUGUGCUGGGUACGCUUGGGCAAAUGUCUUGACCCGUUUCCCCAACUGUAAAGUAAGAAGGUAACAGAGUCAGCUGAAUGGGGGUGUGGUGAGGAUUUAAUAAAACCGUCCACGUUUGGAC